GAUGAACGCUAGCGGCAGGCUUAACACAUGCAAGUCGAGGGGCAGCGGGGAGGAAGCUUGCUUUCUCCGCCGGCGACCGGCGCACGGGUGAGUAACACGUAUGAAACCUGCCCGUAGCAGGGGGAUAAGCGGAAGAAAUUCCGUCUAAUACCGCGUAACAACCCUUGGAGGCAUCUCCCCGGGGUUUAAAGGAAGCGAUUCCGGCUACGGAUGGUCAUGCGUCGCAUUAGCUAGUUGGCGGGGUAACGGCCCACCAAGGCGACGAUGCGUAGGGGUUCUGAGAGGAAGGUCCCCCACACUGGUACUGAGACACGGACCAG
rnacentral:rRNA from 1 species